GCUUUCUUUAUGUGUUUUUUUUCCUCUGAAAGCAAAACAUAAACGGGGGUUAAAGUUAAGGCUAUAUACUAACAUAGUAUAAAGUCAUUAGAAUAGAAUAAUCCUUUAAUUGUCCCACAAGGGAAAUUUGGUUGUAACAGCAGCAAGAAAAACACAAAUACAAACAAACAGGACACAGAACAGAAACAUACACAUUUUUUUUUUUUACAUAUUUACAUCAUGGACAAUAGUUACCAAAAACAGAGUACUGUACAGUUAUUAAAAUGAAAUAAAAUUAAAUACAGGUAAGACGCAAAAUGAAACUUGAAUGAAGGCUGAAGCAUUACAAGACAUUCUUUUCUUUAUAUCUUUAGAUAAGUACGGUGCUCGGCAUAUUCCUGUAAUUUUAUAUGAAGAUAAAUAUGUUAUUUAAAUAUGUAACAAUCUUAUUGAAUUAAUUCAAUUUAAUUUUAAUUAUGUUUUUCCCCAAGCUGGUACUUUAUAGAAAUCUUCAAAAAAAAAGACAAAAAAAAAAGAAUAACACAGUUGCCAUUUAACUGUAUUUCUGUUUUUAAAAGUUUUUUUCAGUUUCCAUGUGAUGUUUUUCCCUGUAGUUUCCAGAUCAGACUGAAUCCAGUGUAUGUAGUGAACUUUGUGCUGUAUUGAUGAGUAGUUUAGUGAUCAGAGUCCAUGUAGUUUCCAGGAUCAGACUGAAUGCAGUGCAGUGCUGGAAGCUGCUGCUGACUGUGUGAAUGUGUGUCUGUGCUGCUUGUUGCUGCUGUCAAACUUCAGAUGAGCAGGUAGUGAAGCCCGUGGUGAGCGUGUACCCAGCAGCAUCCAGAGCCCACCUGGAGGGGAACAGCUCCCUGCUGUGUGUGGCCUCAGCCAUGUUUCCUCCUCUGGUCCAGUUCUCCUGGAAAAGACAGAAGAAGAACGGCGGAGAAGCGGAGGAGCUGCCCCCUGCUGAGGGAGAGCAGCUGGAGCUCAGAGAGUCGGGAUACAGCGCCUCCAUUUUAGUGGUUAAUCGGGAUGAUCCCUUCACAUACAUGUACAGCUGUCGUGUCAGACAUCAGGGGGGCACAGUGGAGGCCCAAACACGACAUGAGCUCCUCUCUUAUGUUCUCCAGUCUCAGUGCAGGGUGAAGCUGCUCUGCCUGCUGUACACAGUGCUGAUAGUGAAGAGUCUGGUGUACUGCUGUGGACUCUCUCUGCUGAUGAUCCUCACAAACAAGGGACCGUCCACCAACUGCACACAGGCUGACUGUUUUCUGAUUGGCAUUUUUCACACUCAGAUUUCCCCAAGUGAGCAGGCAGAAAUGUAAAUUAAGUUGUGGCUGGUAAAAUCCAUCCAUCUUCUUCCUCCUAUUUGGGGCUGAGUCGCAGGGGCAGCAGCCUAAGCAGAGAAGCCCAGACCUCCCUCUCUCCAGUAACCUCCUCCAGCUUAUCCGGGGGAACACCAAGGCGUUCCCAGGCCAGCUGAAAGAGAUGAUCUCUCUAACGUAUCCUGGGUCUGCCCCGGGACCUCCUCCCGGUGGGACAUGCCUGGUGGUUUGGAGAAAUGUUUAUCAUUUAUACCCUUCUCAAAUAUAACCACCUUAAACUAUAAAAUAGAUAUGCAAAUAUUAAAACAGUAGUUGUUUUAAAGUGUAAAUGUUUCAUAUGGAGUCUUCUUUCUUGUGUAUAAGGUUUUAUUUUUUUUCAGUCAGGUAUGCAAACUAUCAAAACCACAAAGACAGUGAACAUACAUGUGCUAUGAUCAUUAUAGUAAAGAGCUGCUUGGUUUUUGUUUUGUUUUUUUCUUUAAGGAAUGUAUAUUUUUCUUCUUCACUGAUAACACAAGAGGAAAGGUUUUUUUUCUUUACAUGACAUUUGUUGCACCUUGUAUAUAACAAAAAGGUGGCUUAUUCCCUUUUCCACCAAUCCAAAUGCAAAGAUAUAUUCUUUCUCAGUUCUGGGUCCUUGUAUAGUGAAUAUGUGAGAUUUAUUAUUGCCAUCACAAACUUGCUUUGUACAGAUUCAGCACAGGUUUAAAAAAAACAUCAUCUAGAGCUUGGAGAAAAUAAUGACAGUUUCAGUGAGCUGAGCCGUCCAGCACAUCUGUGUUUGAACCAGUUAUUCAGUUUCGGGUUUCAAACAUUCAAAAUCUUUUCCUCUUUAAAUAUUACAGAAAAAGUAAUGGUGCCUCUUGGUUUCACUCCAGGAUCAUGCAGCUGUGCCAUUCAUGUGGGUUGAUGCUUGAAACCUACCGUAACAGUGUAGUUAUUGUAUGUAAAAAUAAAGACUUGAUUCUGAUGAACGUGUUUCUCGUUUCAGUCUUUGAUGCAUAACAACGUAUAUGAAUGUAGCAUUGACAUAUCAAACUUGCUCUCCUGCAGCAGACGGGCUGUGUGGGUUUCUGCUCUGCAGCCUCCACACCGUUAGCUGUGGCUUUUCACUUUAAUAACACAAUGACAGUUACAAGCAUGAACUCUGCUUAAAGAAUGAUUCCAGGAAGGAUCUGUGUUCUUCACCUGUGAGAGAAACAGCUCAAAUCCUCAACUCAGAGCUGACAAAUGAACUUAUUUGAAUUUGCUGAUGUUUCAACUUUAUCAUUAUACAUGUGUAAAUACAGGGUGAUGAAAUGCACUUUUAAUUUGGUUUCAUCACAAAAAAGAAAAAUACAAAAUGUCUAAAUAUUAUGUCACAGAAUCAUUGUUGGACUUUUAACUGAAGACGUGGAUAAAUCAAGACAAUGACACUUGUAUAAACAGUUACAGAAGCCAACAGUUAGUAGUACAUUGUGUCUUUGAUCUGGUUAAUUAUUCAGACUUAAUUAAACAAAUAGUAACUGAAAAAAAUUAAGUCUGUUGUAGUUGGGGAUUAAAUGCAACUCUGAACAUAUAAUAAUCAGUUAUCACAUUUAAACAUUUCUGCGCCUGACUCUGCUAAUUGUAAAAAUUAUUUAAUUAUUUAGUCUGACCCUGGUGACAUAAUAGAUUAUAGCGCAUGUGAAACGUACAAAAAUAUCAAUAUUUUGAGCAUAAUUUUUAGUUUAUUUAACCUUUAUUUAUACAAUUAGUCCCAUUGAGACUCAUGUCUCAUUUACAAGAGAGACCUGUUUCCUCCAAACAUAUGAAAAUGUUUAUUUACUGAUGACAUUUCAAACAAAUGUAUUUGAACUCCUCUGUCUGCUGACAUGUAAAUGUUACAUUUGAGAAACUUCUGUUUCUUCUUGUAACAUUCAUGUGAGAGACUGAAGCUCUAAGACAAAAUAUGCUGAAUAAAAUUUGGAUUAAAACUCUUAUUGAUUUUCUGAUGAACUGCAGUGAAUUAAAACUGACAAAACAUGAAGCAGAUGCUGAUUUUUAUAAUUUAUAUACUCAAACAUUUAGAAUAUAAAAUGAAAAGGAGUAGAGUCCAUCUACUAGAAAACUGUUAAGUCCAAGUAAAAAACUAAAUGAACAUUAAUUUCAGGGUAAGUACAAAAAACCAAAAACAAACUCGCCCCCCUCCCCAUAAACCCCCCACAUUGAGCCACAACACAUUGCUUUUAUUUUCACCUGAAAACAGUCAGUCAGCAUGUGUGCAGUUGGUGGACGGUCCCUUGUUUGUGAGGAUCAUCAGCAGAGAGAGUCCACAGCAGUACACCAGACUCUUCACUAUCAGCACUGUGUACAGCAGGCAGAGCAGCUUCACCCUGCACUGAGACUGGAAGAGAGGCCUGUGGAGCCUGAACUCUGAAAAACAAAAGACGUGUGUUGUCCGUGUCUUAAGUGUUUCGUCUUUAAGGGGAUUCACAGUGGAACAGUCACCAAGGCUUAAGUGCUUUUUUCUGGUUGACCCUCCAUGUUCCCCCUCAUGCUUGACAUAGCAGCUGUAUCUGUACGUGUAGAGAUCAUCUGUAUAAUCUACUAAAACAGAAGUUGUCCGUCCCGACUCUCUGAGCUCCAGCUGCUCUCCCUCAGCAGGGGGCAGCUCCUCCGCUUCUCCGCCGUUCUUCUUCUGUCUUUUCCAGGAGAACUGGACCAGAGGAGGAAACAUGGCUGAGGCCACCAUAACUGCAUUAACACAGCAAAUCUGCUGUAACGUGUUAACGCGGAUCGCCUCGUGUGUGGGGCUGCACGGCGUCAACGCGUUAGCACAGUUAGCUCAUUAACGCGUUAGCACCGUCCAGCCCCACGCACGGGGCAAUCCCAGUUAACUCGUUACAGCACUAGUUACAAUAUAACAAAAAUAACAACAAUAAUAAUUUUACAGAUGAAAUAUUUCAAGUGAAUUUUCUGCCCACGUGAAG
ensembl:lncRNA